UACGUAGGGACCAAGCGUUGUUCGGAUUUACUGGGCGUAAAGGGCGCGUAGGCGGCUUAACAAGUCACUUGUGAAAUCUCCGGGCUUAACUCGGAACGGCCAAGUGAAACUGUCAAGCUAGAGUGCAGAAGGGGCAAUCGGAAUUCUUGGUGUAGCGGUGAAAUGCGUAGAUAUCAAGAGGAACACCUGAGGUGAAGACGGGUUGCUGGGCUGACACUGACGCUGAGGCGCGAAAGCCAGGGAGCAAACAGG
rnacentral:rRNA from 1 species